rnacentral:rRNA from 1 species
AUUGAACGCUGGCGGCAGGCCUAACACAUGCAAGUCGAACGAGUGGCGGACGGGUGAGUAAUGUCUGGGAAACUGCCCGAUGGAGGGGGAUAACUACUGGAAACGGUAGCUAAUACCGCAUACCAUCGGAUGUGCCCAGGUGGGAUUAGCUAGUAGGUGGGGUAACGGCUCACCUAGGCGACGAUCCCUAGCUGGUCUGAGAGGAUGACCAGCCACACCUGAACUGGGACACGGUCCAGACUCCUACGUGACGCAGCAGUGGGAAAUAUUGCACAAUGGGCGCAAGCCUGAGUCAGCCAUGCCGCGUGUAUGAAGAAGGCCUUCGGGUUGUAAAGUACUUUAAGCGAGGAGGCGUUACUCGCAGAAGAAGCACCGGCUAACUCCGUGCCAGCAGCCGCGGUAAUUC